rnacentral:lncRNA from 1 species
UAUUAGAUUUAGAGUAUAGAUUUAGAUUUAGUGUUUGAGGUUUAGAUUUUAAAUUUGAGAUUAGAUUUUUAAAUGAUUUAAUUUGAGUUUAAGUUUAAGAUUUAUAUUAUAAGUUUGAAUAUAUUACAUGGAAGGUUUAAGUUUGGGGUUUAGGGUAUUAGAUUUAGGGUGUAGAUUUAAAAUUUAGUGUUUGAGGUUUAUAAUUUAAAUUUGAGAUUAUAUUUUAAAAAUGAUAUUAUGAAAAUGUUUGAUCCUGUCGUAGCUAUUGUGGUAUUAGAUAUCAAUCGUAGCGUAUAAUGUUAUCUAGCAAUGUAAAGGAAGAAGCAAUACCUUGGUAUUUGAGGUUUAGAUUAAGUUUGGCCUGAGUUGUAAGAUUUGGGGUUUGGGAAUAGGGUUGGAUUUGGAGUUUAGAUUUAUGAAUUUAAGCUGAGUAUAUAUGAUUGUUAAAUUUUAUGAUUUGGAAUAUAGAGAUUAUGUUUAGAGUUUAGGGUUUCAAAUAUAAUGUUUGGAUUUAGUUUUAAGAUUUGGGGUUCGGGUAGGGUUUAGAGUUUAGAUAUAGGGUUUGGAAUUUAAAUUUCAUAUUUAAUAAUUUAUAAAUAUAGUGUUUGGAUUUAGUUUUGAUUUUUCAUUUAUUGUUUUGUGUAAUAAUAACCUACUAUGAAACAUUUA